rnacentral:rRNA from 1 species
GAUGAACGCUGGCGGCGUGCCUAAUACAUGCAAGUCGAGCGAACGUACUUUAAGCUUGCUUCUCUGAUGUUAUCUGCGUAAGUUUGAGUAACACGUGGAUAACCUCCCUAUAAUACUGUGAUUACUUCGGGAAACUGGCGUUAAUACCAGAUUAUAUUUUGAACCUCAUGUUUCAAAACUGCAAGACUUUCUUGCUGUCACUUAUAUAUCUUUCCGCUCUGCAUUAGCUAGUUGGUAAGGUAACGGCUUACCAAGGCAACGAUGCAUAGCCGACCUGAGAGGGUGAUCGGCAACACGAGAGAGAAGACACGGUCCAGCAUCCUAAGGGAGGCAGCAGUAGGGAAUCUUCCGCAAUGAGCGGAAGCCUGAAGGAGGAAAGCCGCGUGAGUGAGGAAGGUCUUCGGAUCGUAAAACACUGUUAUUAGGGAAGAACAUAUGUGUAAGUAAAUGUGCAAAAAUUGACGGUACCUAAUCAGAAAGCCACGGCUAACUACGUG